AGCGAACGCUGGCGGCAGGCCUAACACAUGCAAGUCGAACGAACCCUUCGGGGUUAGUGGCGGACGGGUGAGUAACACGUGGGAACGUGCCUUUAGGUUCGGAAUAACUCAGGGAAACUUGUGCUAAUACCGAAUGUGCCCUUCGGGGGAAAGAUUUAUCGCCUUUAGAACGGCCCGCGUCUGAUUAGCUAGUUGGUGAGAUAAUGGCUCACCAAGGCUACGAUCAGUAGCUGGUCUGAGAGGAUGACCAGCCACAUUGGGACUGAGACACGGCCCAAACUCCUGCGGGAGGCAGCAGUGGGGAAUCUUGCGCAAUGGGCGAAAGCCUGACGCAGCCAUGCCGCGUGGAUGAUGAAGGUCUUAGGAUUGUAAAAUCCUUUCACCGGUGAAGAUAAUGACUGUAGCCGGAGAAGAAGCCCCGGCUAACUUCGUGCCAGCCGCCGCUGUAAAAC
rnacentral:rRNA from 1 species